rnacentral:rRNA from 1 species
UACGUAGGGUGCGAGCGUUGUCCGGAAUCAUUGGGCGUAAAGCGCGUGUAGGCGGCUCGGUAAGUCCGGUGUGAAACCUUGGGGCUCAACCCCAAGCCUGCACUGGAUACUGUCGAGCUCGAGUCCGGGAGGGGAGAGCGGAAUUCCUAGUGUAGCGGUGAAAUGCGCAGAUAUUAGGAAGAACACCGGUGGCGAAGGCGGCUCUCUGGGCUGGAACUGACGCUGAGGAGCGAAAGCGUGGGGAGCGAACAGG